rnacentral:lncRNA from 1 species
CAACUAGGGCAAGAGAAAGGAAAAGGCUCGAUCGCAACGAGGGCGAGAGAAAGGAAAAGGCUCGAUCGCAACGAGGGCGAGAGAAAGGAUCGCAACGAGGGCGAAAGCAAACAAGGAUUAGUCUAAACUAAACCUAACUUGCACAGGAAGCAAGUCUAAGCUAGCCUAAGAAGCAAAGCAAUCACAAUCACAGAUAGCACACACUAUAUACAUACAAGAGGCUCACACAAGGGUUAGGUUUUAGUCGAGGGGUCAUAUCAACCUCAACAAACAAACCUCUGGAAUGGGGUGAGUGUUGCUCUUAACCUUGCCAUUGAG